AGUGAACGCUGGCGGUAGGCCUAACACAUGCAAGUCGAACGGCAGCACAGUAAGAGCUUGCUCUUACGGGUGGCGAGUGGCGGACGGGUGAGGAAUACAUCGGAAUCUACUUUUUCGUGGGGGAUAACGUAGGGAAACUUACGCUAAUACCGCAUACGACCUACGGGUGAAAGCAGGGGCUCUUCGGACCUUGCGCGAUUGAAUGAGCCGAUGUCGGAUUAGCUAGUUGGCGGGGUAAAGGCCCACCAAGGCGACGAUCCGUAGCUGGUCGGAGAUGAUGAUCAGCCACACUGGCAGGGAGACACGCUCCAGACCCCUGCGGGAGGGAGCAGUCGGGAACAUUGGAUAAUGGGCUCAAGCCUGAUCCAGGCAUACCGCGUGGGGGAAGAAGGCCCCCGGGUUGUAACGCCCUUUUGUUGGGACAGAAAAGCAGCCGGCUAGCACCCCGCUGUUCUGACGGUACCCAAAGAAUAAGCACCGGCUAACUUCGUG
rnacentral:rRNA from 1 species